GCACUGCACGUUCACACAGCACACUGCUAAACUUAACUAAUGCAGUCGCAGUGGUCUUGGAGUUGAAGUGUUUUACCUGUGAAGGAGCCAAGGUAUAAACAGAGGCAUCGCGGAACGUCGGUGGAGCCAGUCCAUGCAGCAGAGGCAGAAAAUACUUCUCAGGCUGAUCUCUCAGUGUGUGAGAGAUGUGCAGACUCUAUGAGCAGAAUGCCAAGGAUUGUCUGCUUGCCCCUCUCAAGCUGCGUUCCAGGUUUGUACCUGCUCAGUGUUUAUUAACCUCCUCAGUGCUCACAUGGACUACUGCCAUAAUUCUCUCAAAAGUUGCUCAAGGCAGAUAUUUGCAACUUUAUUU